GACGAACGCUGGCGGCGUGCUUAACACAUGCAAGUCGAACGGAAAGGCCCUGCUUUUGUGGGGUGCUCGAGUGGCGAACGGGUGAGUAACACGUGAGUAACCUGCCCUUGACUUUGGGAUAACUUCAGGAAACUGGGGCUAAUAUCGGAUAGGAGCUCCUGCUGCAUGGUGGGGGAUGGAAAGUGUCGGCGGUUGGGGAUGGACUCGCGGCUUAUCAGCUUGUUGGUGGGGUAGUGGCUUACCAAGGCUUUGAAGGGUAGCCGGCCUGAGAGGGUGACCGGCCACAUUGGGACUGAGAUACGGCCCAGACUCCUACGGGAGGCAGCGGUGGGGAGUAUUGCACAGUGGCCGGAAGCCUGAUGCAGCAACGCCGCGUGCGGGAUGACGGCCUUCGGGUUGUAAACCGCUUUCGCCUGUGACGAGGCGUGAGUGACGGUAAUGGGUAAAGAAGCACCGGCUAACUACGUG
rnacentral:rRNA from 1 species